GGCGGCGUGCGUGCGGAAGUGGAGACGGCGGCGGCGGUGGCUGGCGUCAGGCUGUGGACGAAGAGGCGGCCUCGGUGGGCUUUGCGACCGCAGUGUCUUCCUUCUGUCCCCGGUCGUGCGUCGUGCCCCCCAGCGCGGCUCACGUUUCGGAACACGUCUGCCUUUCAUGCCUCCCGAAGAGCCUCCCCGCAUCCCGUGCCCCCUGCUCGCUGCUGCCGCUGACCCUUGGGCGCUGCGCUGGUCCAGAGCGUGUUGUCCUCUGAAGCCGUCAGAACCUGAGCUCCCUGCGAGCUGGGACUCCGCCGUGUCUUCAUUGCCUCCGGUGCAAAGCAACUGCUUGCAAGAGAACAAAAGUGUGUUCAGGUGCACAGAGUAGAAAAUUCAAGGAGCCUGAAAGGGUAUUUGGUGAAGACUUGAUGUGUUUUUCCCAGUCCUAACCUCCAAGGCUCAGUUCUCCCCUGGGGCAGAGGGAAACCCGUUUCUUACGUGUCUACCAAGAAAGUCUAUGCAGGAACAUCUACGUGCGUUUCUGCAAAAGGUCAGUUACUUUAAUUGGGGCCCUUAUACUUAACGUAGCUCGGAGAGCGCCCCAUGCAUUCAGAUACAGGUGGGAUUCAUCCGGAAACGGAGUUUUAUAGCACCAGAAUUUAUCCCCUUUCCUGUAGAAAUUUAGGGUUUUUGCUGUCUUUUAUAACGAACAAUGCUAGCUUGAGUAUUCCUUGUACAAACCGUUUUUUGCCCAAGUCGGCCUAUUUUCUUAGGUUAAAUUCCUUGGUGCAGAAGUGCGAGGGCCCCUAAAGGGGUGGUACCAAAUUGCCCUCCCCCACCAGCAUAAGAGGGGGCCGGUGACACCCUUGCCCAAGCUGGAUUUGGCAGACCUGGUAGGCGUGAGAUAGUUUUCACUGUAGCGUUGUGUUUCCUGUAAGUAUCGUCGAACGUCGUAAUGUUACUGUUACAUCUAUGUUACGUUGAUCAUUGUUACCACUGACAGUCGUUUCGAGAUUGGAAAAUAUGUUUAUUAUAAACGUUUGACUAUUUAAAAGCCAUUUGUAUUUUA